rnacentral:misc_RNA from 1 species
AAGUCGUAACAAGGUUUCCGUAGGUGAACCUGCGGAAGGAUCAUUAACACGUAUCCAACGUUAAACAACCCUGUGAACUUUCAGCGCUCUUGUAACCAGGCGGAACAGCAAUCGGGACCUCUGUCCAAAAGGUUACAAUCGAGUUGAGCAGUGGCAUGGUUUCCCUAAGCAGUGCAGAAGGAUCCACUGAGUAAGGAUAACUCAUCAAAGGUUGCUAGAGGUCGAUCACCGGCCGGCAGACAUGUCACAGGGCUAUACGCCCCUUCAUUCACCCCUUGCCCUCUCCUGCCCGCCGGAAACGUCGGGCACAAAAACUGAACAACUGUUAACAAUGGAUAUCUUGGUUCUC